rnacentral:rRNA from 1 species
GCUCAGGAUGAACGCUAGCUACAGGCUUAACACGUGCAAGUCGAGGGGUAGCAGGGUAGCAAUACCGCUGACGACCGGCGCACGGGUGAGUAACACGUAUCCAACCUUCCCAUAACUCGGGGAUAGCCUUUCGAAAGAAAGAUUAAUACCCGAUAGUACUUAUAUAAGGCAUCUUAAAUAAGUUAAAGAUUUAUUGGUUAUGGAUGGGGAUGCGUUCCAUUAGAUAGUUGGUGAGGUAACGGCUCACCAAGUCUUCGAUGGAUAGGGGUUCUGAGAGGAAGGUCCCCCACAUUGGUACUGAGACACGGACCAAACUCCUACGGGAGGCAGCAGUGAGGAAUAUUGGUCAAUGGGCGAGAGCCUGAACCAGC